UGGGGGAUAUUGCACAAUGGGCGCAAGCCUGAUGCAGCGACGCCGCGUGGGGGAUGAAGGCCUUCGGGUUGUAAACUUCUUUUGCUCUGAACAAGGCGCACUUUGGGGUGUGUUGAGUGUAGGGGUUGAUUAGCGCCGGCUAACUACGUGCCAGCAGCCGCGGUAAUACGUAGGGCGCGAGCGUUGUCCGGAAUUAUUGGGCGUAAAGGGCUUGUAGGUGGCUGGUUGCGUCUGUCGUGAAAGCUCAUGGCUUAACUGUGGGUUUGCGGUGGGUACGGGCUGGCUUGAGUGCAGUAGGGGAGGCUGGAAUUCCGGGUGUAGCGGUGGAAUGCGCAGAUAUCAGGAGGAAUACCGGUGGCGAAGGCGGGUCUCUGGGCUGUUACUGACACUGAGGAGCGAAAGCAUGGGGAGCGAACAGG
rnacentral:rRNA from 1 species